AUGACGAUGACGGCGUAGACUGGACCAA
rnacentral:sRNA from 1 species